AAGUGAGCUCCCCCGCUGGCCACUGGUGGUUUGGCCCACUUUAGGUUUCUACUAGGAAGUUAUACAAGGAGUGGUUGCAUCAGGUGUAGGUUUUUGCCAGUAAACCAAGAAGAAGGUUUAGAGUGUUCCUUCUCAUGGAGCUACAAUAAAAGCCCAGACAACAACUGAACUAAUAUUUAUCUCCAUUUCCCCACAUGUCCAUGGGCCAUCAUGAUGAGUCAGCAAACAUCCAACAGACACCAAUCAACAUUAGCAUUCAUUUGGAGUUGUGCUUGUGCCCACCUGACACAUUGAGCCAGGCCUUGGGCUGCCAGCGGAGGAUGUGAAGCCAAGCCAGGGAGCCGAGGCCACUGUCAACUCUCAGUGGUUAGAAUAACCCAGUAAAGCCUCCUGGGAACUGAGCUGGGACCGGGCCAAUGCUGGCGAAGAGAAAGAGUGAGAGGUCAGCACAAGCAGGUGGAGCAUAAAUACUCAGCAUGCUCACAGCCAACAAUAGCUGCCAUCCAUCUCUGCAGUUGCAAAGUCACUCCCAAGAAGCCACAGCCAUUGUUGUCAAAACCAAAGUGGAAAGGUAAGGCUUACAGCCGCCUGUCACCUGAGAGCACCCAGGGCCCAUCCACGUGUUCACCGCAGGCACAAGUGGGGCUCUACAACUGACACAAAGGCUGGCAGGGAAGAGGACAAGGAAGUGCAGUGGAUGGAGGACAAUAGAGGAGUUAACACAAGGGCCCUCAUUUGUUUUUCCCCUCAUCAAACUGUUUUCACCUGGGCUGCACGGAGUCAGACCCUCUCCUGAAAACUGCCAUACUAUAGCAUAUCGUAAUAAUGGGGUCUGACCACCUCCCAUAAAAUGUCUUACUGUAGUAUAUCGUAAAAAUGAAGUCCAACCCUAUCCUGAAAAAAAUGCCUUACUAUAUAUAGUAUGUGGUAAACUACCUACUGUAGUCCACACCAGCUAUUGACUGCACCCUGACAAGGAAACAAACCCCAGCCUGCUGUGCCAAAGUCACCGCUGAGUUAUCCGCCCACUGUAUAGGCACACAUUUAGAACUUUUACUUGUUUCUGCUACUGGUCAAUAGGGCUUAGCGUCUGGAAAAUUGUAAAAAGGCUGUAGGACAGAGCUAGCAAGUGAGUGAUGUCCCCGACUCUAGCUUGUCUCAUUCAAAUUAAUGGAGAGGCAGAGAAAUGUCCUAAAUCAACAUAAAAACAACCGUGAUAAUUCAA